UACAGAUUAUGUGUGUAUAUGUAGAAAUAGCCUACUUAAAAUGUACCGUGCAGUAACUGAAAAAUAAUGACAGAUUUUAAUUGUGAUCAAUGACUGUAUUUGUAAUUUUACGACAAGGCUGAUCUCUUCCUUUUGUUUUCAAUGUCUGUUCUACCUCUGGUGACUCAACUGCAUUUUGAUUAGGAAGUGUGGUGCUAAACUCACACAAGCGAGAGGUAUAGUCAUCUGCACCCAAUGCAGCUACAGCCUUCAACAUAUUCUUACCUCUUUGUUGAUUUGAUAUACAGAAUUUUAUAAGGUAGAAAGUGUCAAACAACACUGCCAUUUCUACAAAUAUGAAAAGAUAGAGGGUAUGAUCAUCAAACAGUAUCAGUUUAGAUCAUACAAGGGAGAAACCUUACCUUAUAUUCAGGAAAUCUUUACAUUUUUCAGUUUAAGUGCCUGCACCUGCUGUCACCUCAAAUUCAAAUCCAAAUGUUUCAGUUGGGCAGUUCCUGCAAGAACCCCCACAAACUAAGGAGGUUUUUGAGGAGGUCCCACCUCCUUUGGGGUUCUUGGAGGCAUUUUUCAUAGCCAAGAACCCUGAGGAACUUUUAGGAUCUUAGAAGAACGCUUGUUGGAAUGCAACAUUUUGGAGUGGAGGCAUUCAUCGUUAUUUUGGCCUGCUGCCAGGUGUAGGACAUUGCUCCAUGCAUGGGCAAAUUGGACAUCUGGCAAACGGCAGAAAGACCAAAUCAUUUUUUAUUGGGGUGAGUUGUUAAAAAAUAAAAAUAAAUUAAAUCAUAUUUUAUUUCUACAAAAAAAACAUGGCCGGCGGGUAGUGGACCUGUUUUCGAUUACUUUUGUACGAUAUCUCUGUUGUCAAAAUAAUCUGUAUUGAGCACUUGGCUGACCAGUAGGCAAGACCGCCCCACCCUCCCAAAAUGGUCCGGCCCAGUUAUCAGAUUAGCUGAGCUGAAGUGGCACACAUUCAAAGUCAAACGGGUAACAAAAAGAGUGAUACAUAGACUUACAAAGAUGAGGUCCAAGAGCAAGAGAGGGACUGUGGUGAUGUGUCCACUGUUAUGUUUAAGGCUUGGAUUCCACCUGCUGGUAUGGUGCUAAACUGUUCAGUUACAGACCGGAUUCCAUAGUUCUAUGUGCAGGAUAUGGAAGUUGUUACAGGCUGGCUACAUGAAACAUCCACAACUAAAGGAUCAUUGUGGUAUCUGAAAAUACACUUAUCCUAUAAGUAUGAUGGUGUACUUACUACGUGCACAUGCUAAAAGAAAGAAAUGGGUAGAUAACAAACUGGGCCAUUGUAGCAAAGUAUUUAUAAACUAAAAAUCAGAUCUCUUAAAUAUUUCAUUCAUAUUCGUUCUAUUAUCUAUACAAUAGGCCAUAAUUGAUUUUGGCCCAAUAGGACUGGCAUAUUCCCAUUUUCAAGGAGCUUUCCGUCUUGAUUGUGUUGUUUUGCCUAAAGACCUUUAGGCCUACCUAUAGAAAUGUUUGAAAACUCCCACUCUCCCAACCAAGUACACGUGGUGUAGCACACACAUCCUGACUCCUGUGAUUGCAGACACAAUAGGAGUAGCUAUGUCUGUUCUCUCUACUAAAUAACCUGGCAGUGUUAAUUCCAGAGUCCUACCAAAGAAUCAAUGUGUGGAAAAAAGAGCCUGGACACUCGCCACAGACGUCUCUCUCCUAUAGGUGAAGCACGCUGGUGGGCCAAGGAUGCUGCUCUGAAGAAGGUCUUUGUAUUCUUUGGCGACCCACAAAAUGCUCUGUUUGUGGAUGUCAUUCUCACCUUGAUGGUUAAUUGAAGAGAUGGCAGGUCAAAGGCCAACUGUACGUGUCAAGGCCAGAGCAUUAACAGAGUCUCUUCUCAAGAUACAACACAAUCUUCACUGCCCAAACAGUUCUGUGUAUAUUUGAGAAUACGUCCCCUCUCUCCAUGUACCUUCAAACCAGUGGCAUGGACAUCCUGACAGAGGGAUGGUAUUGGGAACACAAGAGGCUCUGCAAAAUAAUGUGAGGGACUUGCUGUGGAGAGGGCUGCAAACAGCUUCAUGCAGUGGUCCACUGACAAGCUGCAAGAACAGGAUGAAGACAACGAACUGGAAGUGCAAGCUGAGAUGCCUCAGAAGAGAACAAAGAAAAGGAAGACCAUGCCAUGAUACCGUGAUAGGGAUGCAGAGAGGGUCUACAAGACUAAGGUGCACUCUGUCAUCAUGGAUACAGUCACUGAGAGCAUCUGUCAGCGCUUGCUGACACCAGGCAGGUUGCACACAGACUUUACUCAUCUGGACCCCAGCAGGUUCUCAGAGAUACAAUAUAAUGGAUUGCCCCAGACAUCACUUGCAAAACUAAGCAAACUCUUGCUUGAGUUUGACAGUCAAGCAGCUGUCAGCACUUUGCAGUGUGAGUUGACUAUUCUUGCCUGUCAGGGGGAGAGACUGAAAACAUCAGCAGUGGAGAAAUACACAACCAGGACUGUGAGAGAUACCUGCAGAUGGACCUGAUGAAGAAUAAGUGGAGAUGAUGAAUGCAAGUUGUUCAACAUGUUUGAACUGUUCUGUAUGUUGUUGUCAACGUCUACAGUGGUACAUCUUGUUGACAGAGGCCUACCAUGUUAUCGGCCUGGGGUACAAGUUCCUAUUCACCGUUUGUGUCACCCAGGUAGCCUGUGAGAGGAGCUUCUCAACUAGAGGUCGACCGAUUAAUUGGAAUGGCCGAUUAAUUAGGGCCGAUUUCAAGUUUUCAUAACAAUCGGAGAUCGGUAUUUUUGGGCGCAGAUUUGCCGAUAUAUAUAUUUUUUUUACACCUUUAUUUAAUCUUUAUUUAACUAGGCAAGUCAGUUGAGAACACAUUCUUAUUUUCAAUGACGGCCUAGGAACGUUGGGUUAACUGCCUCGUUCAGGGGCAGAAGGACAGAGUUUCACCUUGUCAGCUCGGGGGAUCCAAUCUUGCAACCUUACAGUUAACAGCUCCAAUGCAAUAACGACCUGCCUCUCUCUCGUUGCACUCCACAAGACUGCCUAUUAUGCAAAUGCAGUAAGCCAAGGUAAGUUGCUAGCUAGCAUUAAACUUGUCUUAUAAAAAACAAUCAUAAUCACUAGUUAACUACACAUGUUUGAUGAUAUUACUAGAUAUUAUCUAGCGUGUGCUGUGUUGCAUAUAAUCUGACUGAGCAUACAAGGAUCUAAGUAUCUGACUGAGCGGUGGUAGGCAGAAGCAGGCACGUAAACAUUCGUCAAGCAUUGCGCUGUUUAUGACUUCAAACCAAUCAACUCCCAGAUGAGGCUGGUGUAACCGAAGUGAAAUGGCUGGCUAGUUAGCGCACGCUAAUCGUGUUUCAAACUUCACUCCCUCUGAGCCUUGGGGUGGCUGUUUCCCUUGCUCUGCAUGGGUAACGCUGCUUUGAUGUGGUGGCUGUGGUCGUUGUGUUGCUGGUUCGAGCCCAGGGAGGAGCAAGUAGAGGGAUGGAAGCUAUACUGUUACACUGGCAAUAUUAAAGUGCCUAUAAGAACAUCCAAUAGUCAACGGUUAAUGAAAUACAAAUAGUAUAGAGGGAAAUAGUCCUAUAAUAACUACAACCUAAAACUUCUUACCUGGGAAUAUUGAAGACUCAUGUUAAAAGGAACCAACAGCUUUCAUAUGUUCUCAUGUUCUGAGCAAGGAACUGAAACGUUAGCUUUCUUACAUAGCACAUAUUGCACUUUUACGUUCUUCUCCAACACUGUUUUUGCAUUUUUUAAACCAAAUUGAACAUUCAUUAUCUACUUGAGGCAAAAUUGAUUUUAUUGAUGUAUUAUAUUAAGUUAAAAUAAGUGUUAAUUCAGUAUUGUUGUAAUUGUCAUGAUUACAAAUACAGUUUUUUAUUUUUUAUUAAAUCGUCCGAUUAAUCGGUAUCGGCUUUUUUGGUCCUCCAAUAAUCGGUAUCGGCGUUGAAAAAUCAUAAUCGGUUGACAUCUUUUCUCAACUCUCAAAUUCAUAAAACAUCAACUCAGGAGCACCCUAUCCUACGAUCUCUUGGAAGCAUUUAUUCUGAUGGCAACUGAAAAGGAAAUCCUUAUGGUCCUGGAUACAGAUGAUGUCAUUGGCAGGGUGACAGAGAAGAACUGCUGUGACACCUUCUGACAAAAGGGUAGGGAGGGCAGAGUGACAGCAGAGGAGAACAAGAAGAGACAGACAGGCUGACAGACUGACAACAAAGUUACAGACAGUGACAGAUCAGAACAAGACAACUGAGGAGAAUAUCUGACAGACUGUGACAGAUCAGAACAAGGUAAAUCACAGAGGGACAGUGACAGCAGAGAUGCAGAGACAGACAGCGCAACAGGGAUAAAACAGACUCAGAGGCCCAGUUAUAGUGAUGAGUUGUAUCUCCAGACUCCAGUGGUGUUUUAACAUGUAAUUGUUUUAAACAUGAGCUGGUUAAAAAAGGAGGAAGACCAUGUUUCUUCACUCACUGGGACAGUAAAGGUUGGGAAUCUCUGUACUAUAGUGUACUACUGAUGUUAUAUGCUGCAGGUUAGAAGGGUUAGGUUAAGGUUAGGAAAGGGGUUAAGGUUAGCGGAAAUGCUCUCCUAACCUGCAACAAUAAUACCUUCCUGGUCGUAUCUGUAUCAAGUGUCAAAGAUGGCAACAUUCUCUAAUAACUACACGCCUAUUUCUGUUUCAUACUUCUUUUUUAUUCAUUUUUUCUUCAGUGAUUCAAUUCAGUAAGAUAUCAUCAUUUACUAAUUAAAAGAAUUAUAUUUACAUGUACUAAAAUACAAUAAGUCUGCAGGUCAGUUCAUCUCGAUUCUUCAAAACUCCUAAGAACAUCACAAAUCCAGUGUGUGUGUCCUCCAGUGAGUUGGAGAGGAUUGAGGAACAAUGGCACCAUUUGAAAUCUUGAUAUGGACUAUAACUAUUAUAUUGGUGUUUGAAAGCAUUGGAUCCUGUAUUGCAUGUGGUAGAGCUGAAUACAGAAUAAGGGAUGAAUGUUGUCCCAUGUGUUCACCAGGAAAUCGUGUACAUAAGCAUUGUACUGAAUUCACCAGUACCAGCUGUGUGCCCUGUGUUGAUGCUACUUUCCUUGAUGAGCCCAAUGGUCUCAUAAAAUGCAAAGUGUGUAUCAACUGUGAUCCAGGUUUGGGUUUGAAGGUAAAGCAGUCAUGUAGACCUUCAUCAGACACUGUCUGCGGGACACUGGAGGGAUUCUACUGUCUAGACCCAACUAAGGAGGGUUGUAGAGCAGCCCAGAGACACAGCAGCUGUAAACCUGGUCAAUACAUCAACCACACAGGAACAGCAUCUACAGAUACUGUGUGUUCUGACUGUACUGGUGACACCUAUUCAGAUGGAUUAUUAGCAGCCUGCCAGCCACACACACAGUGUAAAUCUUUAGGUUUUCAAGAACUAAGACCAGGAACUCAUUGGUCCAAUUCUGAAUGUGGACCACAACCCUCAAGAAUAGAACCUGGAAUCAUCAUUGGUGUUGUUGUGGCAUCAGUCCUAAUAGCUCCUAUAAUAAUAAUAAUAAGAAGAAGAAUUGUAAUUCUAAGGAAGAAAAGAAGUCCAACAACAGUGACUUUUUCUCCAGUGACAGUAAAUGCUGUAGAGCUGACCAGGAAUGAGGCAAGCCGCCUCGUUACCCCCGAGACUGUCUGGAGGCUUUCCUCUCCUCUGAGGACCCAGCGAGGGUAGAGCACAGUGAGACACUUCUACAGCCAGAGAGGUGAGAGGUCACAUGGUUUGGAUGUCAAGAAAUGGAACAGCAAGGCCACAGAACAUGACAUACGCAGAGCUGUGGGAGACCACCUGAAGCAUUCCCCUGGUAGAGCCAGAGGAUGGUGUUUACCACACCACCACCAAACAUCUUCAACAGGCUUGAAAAGUGGGAUUGAUCUGUUUGAUCCAUUUGAUUUGUUUCAGUUUUCAUUAGUUGAAUCCUUCGACUUAUUAAUGAUAAAAAAUAAAUGUUUUUAACAAAAAUGCACUGGAUUCGUUCAAAGGUGAUACUAAACAUCCAUCAUUUUGACACAGAGGAAGAUAUGCUAAAUUUAUACAGUUUUUGAUUCAAAGAUGGACCAAAAUAUAUGUUCCUUUUGCACAGUUUUGUUCAUUAGUUUUGCAAGAAUGUUGAUUGGUCGGUCAUUGGGUUCAUUAGUAUAGCAAUAUGUUGAUGCCAUUGAUUAAAAGAGUAAGAAUAUGAUGCAAUAUUCGACACUUGUUUUACUCCAUUGUUUGCAAACAAUAUAAUUGUAAAAAAAAAAAAUCAGUUGGUUGCAUAAAUAAUUACGAUUACUACAUGUUAUAUGAAAUAUCAAAACGGAAUUGUUCAAAUGUAAUGGAAAAAAAUCACUUAAUGUUAAGGUAUGGAAUAAGAAAUGUAUCCUUUUUCACGCUGGAUGUUUGAAAUAUGAGUAGAUGAGGAUUUGAGUCAGUCUUCUUCAUUAGUGGAAUAAAGACAAUUAGCACUAAUGUUGUACAGAAAUACUGGGUGUAAAUACUGGCGUGAUGUGUGAUGUUAAUAAAAUGUCCAUAGACCAAUUUUUCUUAUACUGCGUUCAUGUGUAUAGGCUGCAAGUACGUUGAAAUUAAGUUGUUUUCAAGUCGUUGAAACUUUCAACCAAAACCAAACGGAGAUUGGACGUCGGGCAUAGUCGUCUUUUCAACUACAUUUUGUGAGGUGGGUAUAGCCUGCUACAUCUUCCAUCCUCUUAGGCCAGAGAAAGAAUGUAUGAAUUAAUGGUUGGAUCAGAAUCACAGUUACAAUCAUUGGCCAUUACAGAGAAUUAGGUAAAACCACAAGUCUAAAUCCUUAUCUCCAUCCAUGACUAAUUUAGGAAAGGGCUGAUUUUAACUAGCUAGCUAUCCACCGAAGGACAAAUCCAAACAGGCUUCCCUUCAUAUUUUGGGGGUUCCGCCAGAAUCACAUCAAAUCUAAGUUUCUUUGUCACGUGUGCCGAAUACAGACCUUAUAGUGAAAUGCUUACUUACAGGCUGUCACACCCUGACCAUAGUUUAUUUGUAUGUUUCUAUGUUUUGGUUGGUCAGGGUGUGAUCUGAGUGGGCAUUCUAUGUUGGAUGUCUUGUUUGUCUAUUUCUAUGUCUGGCCUGAUAUGGUUCUCAAUUAGAGGCAGGUGUUAGUCAUUGUCUCUGAUUGGGAACCAUAUUUAGGUAGCCUGGGUUUCACUGUGUGUUUGUGGGUGAUUGUUCCUGUCUCUGUGUUUGUUGCACCAGUCAGGGCUGUUUCGGUUUUCCACGUUUGUUGUUUUGUAUUGUUUGUGUUUUCAUCAUCAUUAAAGAUGUA